CAAAUCCUGAUGUGUCCGUCGAAGAAUUGCUGUUUUGACCGAACACUUUGAUACAUUGGGAGCUCGGAGUUCUUGUAUGGUGUGCAUGCCACCUACUUAUUGAUAUAGUGGACGCAUGAAGUACAAGACAGAGCACCCACCUGCCUCGAGCGGGAUCAAAACAUCAUGUAGGCCGACGGCACAAUUGGGAUUAGU
rnacentral:other from 1 species